rnacentral:rRNA from 1 species
AGAGUUUGAUCCUGGCUCAGAUUGAACGCUGGCGGCGUGCCUAACACAUGCAAGUCGAGCGGUAACAGGUGUAGCAAUACAUGCUGACGAGCGGCGAACGGGUGAGUAAUGCUUCGGAAUCUACCCAGUAGUGGGGAAUAACCAACCGAAAGGUUGGCUAAUACCGCAUACGUCCUACGGGAGAAAGCGGGGGAUCGCAAGACCUCGCGCUAUCGGAUGAGCCGAAGCCGGAUUAGCUAGUUGGUAGGGUAACGGCCUACCAAGGCGACGAUCCGUAGCUGGUCUGAGAGGACGACCAGCCACACUGGGACUGAGACACGGCCCAGACUCCUACGGGAGGCAGCAGUGGGGAAUAUUGGACAAUGGGGGAAACCCUGAUCCAGCGACGCCGCGUGUGUGAAGAAGGCCUGCGGGUUGUAAAGCACUUUUAGUGGGGAUGAAAAGUGCAGAGCUAACACCUCUGCAUCUUGACCUAACCCACAGAAAAAGCACCGGCUAACUCUGUGCCAGCAGCCGCGGUAAUACAGAGGGUGCGAGCGUUAAUCGGAAUUACUGGGCGUAAAGCGUGCGUAGACGGUAAUGUAAGUCGGGUGUGAAAGCCCCGGGCUCAACCUGGGAAUUGCAUUCGAGACUGCAUUGCUUGGGUGCGGAAGAGGGAAGCGGAAUUUCCGGUGUAGCGGUGAAAUGCGUAGAUAUCGGAAGGAACACCAGUGGCGAAAGCGGCUUCCUGGUCCGACACCGACGUUCAGGCACGAAAGCGUGGGGAGCAAACAGGAUUAGAUACCCUAGUAGUCC